CUUCCCCACAGCAGCCAGGACAUCCCGGGCCACUGCCACAGGGCUUCGGCCCUGGGCCGUGGUCUUGUCCAUAACUGAAGGAAAGGAAACAAACGAGGUGAACUGUCCUCGCUUUCGGAAACACUGUGAAGGAGGAGGAAUAAAGCAGCAGCCUCUCCAGCUUCCUUUCAAGUAGUUCAGGAAGAAAAGAUGAACUGUAUGUAACAUGAGUAUGCACAGAGCAGGACACGGUACGGCACGGGCGAACGAGCAGCCGGACGGACGUCUGCGUGAAGGCUCACGGGAGCAGUCUGUGCUGCUCCUGCAACUUUACGUUUGAAAUCAUUCCAAGAGGUCAGCGUUGCUAAUGGCUCCUCAGGACUUUCACACACGUGAUUUUACAUGAGUUCUUAAUGUUUCGGCGUUGGGAAGGAAGGGGCAUCCAUCAGCCAAGAAGAGGGAAAAGCACGCCUCAGCAAGUCACGCGCGGCAGUGAUGGCUGCGCCGCUCCUUUGGUUUGGGGCAGCCUUGCAUGAUUCUAGAGAACUCCCAGGCUGAGGGUUCUCGCCAGGCUGCACUGUCUCACACCUUGGUGCUGCCGGGCACGCCACUGACUCGGCACCCCAUCUGGACUUGCUGCUGGGACGGCAGUGAGGCCACGGUGCUGUUCUCGCCCUUACGGAUGAGAUGAACCCCCCCCCACCCCCGGAGAACAGCUUGCCCUGGACCUCUCCACUCAGCCCCCAGACCCGCCACAGACCCCGUACUGGAGUCGGCAGGCCAGUCAGGGAACAAAAGCCAGUGGGAUUAAAUCAAAGUAAUUUGGAAAUAAUUUAUAUCGGAACGCUGAGUACCUUAAUUCACCUAUAAUUACUGUUUAACCUCAUCUGCUUUAUCAUUUGUGAUCAUUUGUGUACAUAAAAAAUUUUUCCCUAAACUAUUUAAGCAACAUUAGAUGGGUGUCCUAAGUGAUGAGAGUUGAAGCAGAAUAUUGGAGAACAAAGAUCAGCGAUAGCAAAAAAUCUGGGGCUGGCCCCGUGGCCUAGUGCUUAAGGGAGGCAGAUUCCACACAUAGCCAAUCGCAGUUCAAAUCCCAGUCCUGGUGACUUGAAAAACACUCCAGGUGCAUAUGGGUGCAUACCCGAACUCCCAACAGCACAGAGGAUGGAGAAGGGAUCACACCAUGACCAUGCCCCAUUGGCAGGAGUGUUUCCUCCCUCCCCUUCAGUCUCAUGCACGCACCCUUUGAGGAAAAAAAAACAAAACACACUUUAAAACCAAAACAAAAUGUAGAUUCUGUGUGCUUGCCGGCGUAACAGCAGCAGACGGAUGAAUGAAAUAAUACUUUUUCUUUUUCUUGCCAGAGGGCACAUGUGUUUGCCAGAGAGAUCCCGGGGGGAAGCACCCCAUGGUGGGGCACGGUCACACUGACAAUCCUUUUUCCUCCAUCCCUCCAUCCCGAUGGGAUUUUGAACAUACAUGCACACAUACUCAGCAUGUCUCUUAAGCCACAAGGCUGGUAUUCAAACCGCAAUAGGCCACGCAAGAUCCGGCUCCCUGCGCAUUAUCCUUAACUGCUGCGCUGCAGGGCUGGCCCUGAAACUGCUGCGUGGCCACUCCCACAUGGAGGGGAGAGCGUGAACUGGAAGUCAGUUUGGCAGUUCUAACUUUCUGGUCCUAAAGAGUCCUACUUCUUGGAAUUUAUCUUAUUAAAACCCUCCAUGAGUGGCCAGGAACACAAACAUUCAAGGAUAUACUAUGUGGCACACCAUUGCUAACGGCUGAAGACUGAGAGGAGAAACCCACAAGUGUCCAGGGAAGUGGCAAACUCAGAGGCACCGCACACCCACUGGCUCCCGGUACCUACUAUGCAGCCACUAAACGGGGUGAGGCAGGGCCAGGUGUGGUGCAGUGGCAACAUAAUGGUUCACAUAGGAAAGUCCUGGCCUCGUGCACAGGGGCUCCCUGAGCACUCGGGGUGUGCCUGUGACCCAGGUCAGCCGGGAGGGGGGCGGUCACUGAAAGAUCCUGCUGGAGGUGCCGAUCUCUCUUUCACUGAAGAGAUAAACAGAUAAACUUAAAUAGGGUGAGGGAAAUCUAGAUAGACUGCUGUAGAAAGAUACAUAGUCAAGAAUAAGCAAGCCACCAGGACCAGCAGAUGGUGUAAUGGCUAUGUUGCUGGACUCCCAUG